rnacentral:rRNA from 1 species
ACAAGGUCUCCGUUGGUGAACCAGCGGAGGGAUCAUUACCGAGUUUACAACUCCCAAACCCAAUGUGAACGUUACCAAACUGUUGCCUCGGCGGGGUCACGCCCCGGGUGCGUCGCAGCCCCGGAACCAGGCGCCCGCCGGAGGAACCAACCAAACUCUUUCUGUAGUCCCCUCGCGGACGUAUUUCUUUACAGCUCUGAGCAAAAAUUCAAAAUGAAUCAAAACUUUCAACAACGGAUCUCUUGGUUCUGGCAUCGAUGAAGAACGCAGCGAAAUGCGAUAAGUAAUGUGAAUUGCAGAAUUCAGUGAAUCAUCGAAUCUUUGAACGCACAUUGCGCCCGCCAGUAUUCUGGCGGGCAUGCCUGUCCGAGCGUCAUUUCAACCCUCGAACCCCUCCGGGGGAUCGGCGUUGGGGAUCGGGACCCCUCACACGGGUGCCGGCCCCUAAAUACAGUGGCGGUCUCGCCGCAGCCUCUCCUGCGCAGUAGUUUGCACAACUCGCACCGGGAGCGCGGCGCGUCCACGUCCGUAAAACACCCAACUUUCUGAAAUGUUGACCUCGGAUCAGGUAGGAAUACCCGCUGAACUUAAGCAU